UCCUGUCCGAUCACCGAAGUUAAGUAACGUCGGUCUUGUUCAGUGCCUAGAUGGGUGACCGCUUGGGAAUACCAAGUACUGCAAG